rnacentral:lncRNA from 1 species
AUAUAGGUCCCCCAACACUAUUACACUUUCAGCUUAGCAUUUCAGAAACUGACGUUUUUCACCGGAGCCCUUCUGAAUGUCCGUUUGCGCUCAAAUUUGACAGUCAGACUCGGUUUUACCUAACAAGAAGAAAGAAAUCUUAAAUUCUCAAUUUCGACCAUUUUUUGGUCACUGAAAGCCCUACCGAAUUGAAUCUCUAGCAGAUAGCAGUCGGAUUUUAUUUUUCACUUUUCGGGUGUCGGAAUGACAUGAAACUUUAAAUUUAGCCUCAUAAAAAUAAUCUCGAUAUAUUUUCAGAUUUUCAUCAUUUUCUGACACUGUGAAUUUUCUGCUAAAAUAUCAGCCUCGUUUCUUACAGAAAAUUCUAAAUCUUCUGUUUCCAUUUCAAUUUCAACACAAGUCAUUUCCGACUUAUAUUUUACUUCUUUAAGUCCAAUAAAAAUAGCAUCUUAUACUAUUUUUAUUUACACUAACUUUUAUAUUAAAAUUCGGUACAUUACAAAAG